rnacentral:rRNA from 1 species
UACGUAGGGGCCAAGCGUUGUCCGGAUUUAUUGGGCGUAAAGAGCUCGUAGGCGGUUGGGUAAGUCGGGUGUGAAAACUCCAGGCUCAACUUGGAGAUGCCACCCGAUACUGCUCUGACUUGAGUUCGGUAGGGGAGUGGGGAAUUCCUGGUGUAGCGGUGAAAUGCGCAGAUAUCAGGAGGAACACCGAUGGCGAAGGCAGCCCCCUGGGCCAACACUGACGCUCAGGCACGAAAGCGUGGGGAGCAAACAGG